rnacentral:pre_miRNA from 1 species
CAUGUAAUUCUCCGUCCAACAAAAAAUGUCUCAAGUUUGUCAAAAUUUGGAUGUAUUUAAACUUGACUUAGUGUAUAGAUGCGUUCAAAUUUGAUCAAAAUUGAGAUAUCUUUUGUUAGACGGAGGGAAUAUAUC